GGAAUUUGAGGCUACACGAACUCUGAUCCCACCACUGCACUCUAGCCUGUGCAACAUAGUGAGACCCCUGUCCCUAAACAGAUGAGCAAAAGGAGGGUCUACAGGUUUGGGUGACAGGCUAUGAGGGCAGGGAAAGGAGAGGAAUGGUCAAGGAAUGUGCAGAGAAGUGAUGCCCAAGUACACAUGGUAUUUCUUCUUGGUUCAGUUUUUCUGUAAUCUUCUCCCAUGGUAAAACCUGAGAGAGAGUUGAGAUGAUGACUAGCAGCGGGGUUAAAGGUUCAGUCCUUUUGGUUUUUCUCUCUUUAUCAAAAACAAGACUAUUAUGGCCUUAAGUCAUGAGCCUGAGUAGAAGCAGCAGCACAUAAACCCGUCCUAAUACAUUCAUGUACCCUGUGAAAAUGUAGCACUAUUGAAAAAAAAAAAAAAAGAUAAAGAAA